AUUGAACGCUGGCGGAAUGCUUUACACAUGCAAGUCGAGCGGCAGCGCGGGGGCAACCCUGGCGGCGAGCGGCGAACGGGUGAGUAAUACAUCGGAACGUGUCCUUGAGUGGGGGAUAGCUCGGCGAAAGCCGGAUUAAUACCGCAUAAGCUCUGCGGAGGAAAGCGGGGGACUGGUAACGGCCUCGCGCUGUUGGAGCGGCCGAUGUCGGAUUAGCUAGUUGGUGGGGUAAAGGCCCACCAAGGCGACGAUCCGUAGCUGGUCUGAGAGGAUGAUCAGCCACACUGGAACUGAGACACGGUCCAGACUCCUACGGGAGGCAGCAGUGGGGAAUUUUGGACAAUGGGGGCAACCCUGAUCCAGCCAUUCCGCGUGAGUGAAGAAGGCCUGG
rnacentral:rRNA from 1 species